AUGUGCAGACCGUUUAAAAUACAGAUCCUGCAGAUGACAGCUCUGGGACAGUGUUUUUAAUGUCAUUAAACAGCAUCUAUUCCAGCACAAAAACAAACAAAACCGACACCCGCUGCGAUAAAGUGCAGGAAUCGAGAGUCACUAGUAAGGGAUGUGUUUGAACAGAAGCAGAGCUCUGGGACGUGUGGACAGACUUUCACUGUAAUGAUGGACAUCUGCUCAUGGACAGUCUGUCAAGAAGUAUAACCCCUGCUGGACAUCGUGCCGGGGCUCGGGGGGGACCUGAAUCAUCCCCACGCCUUCAUUCACACAACACUCACUCAUAUCACAGAGAUCUGGCU